GAUGAACGCUGGCGGCGUGCCUAAUACAUGCAAGUCGAGCGAACAGACGAGGAGCUUGCUCCUCUGACGUUAGCGGCGGACGGGUGAGUAACACGUGGAUAACCUACCUAUAAGACUGGGAUAACUUCGGGAAACCGGAGCUAAUACCGGAUAAUAUUUUGAACCGCAUGGUUCAAUAGUGAAAGACGGUUUUGCUGUCACUUAUAGAUGGAUCCGCGCCGCAUUAGCUAGUUGGUAAGGUAACGGCUUACCAAGGCAACGAUGCGUAGCCGACCUGAGAGGGUGAUCGGCCACACUGGAACUGAGACACGGUCCAGACUCCUACGGGAGGCAGCAGUAGGGAAUCUUCCGCAAUGGGCGAAAGCCUGACGGAGCAACGCCGCGUGAGUGAUGAAGGUCUUCGGAUCGUAAAACUCUGUUAUUAGGGAAGAACAUAUGUGUAAGUAACUGUGCACAUCUUGACGGUACCUAAUCAGAAAGCCACGGCUAACUACGUG
rnacentral:rRNA from 1 species